AAGAAAGAAAAGAAAGAAAGGAAGAAAGAAAAAGAAAGAAAGAAAAGGAAAGAGAAAAAGGCAGUGUAUUUCCUGGACUAUCUUGCAGACUCAAGGGUAGGAUGGUGGCCAGACCUGUGGAAGGAUGAGAAUCAAGAACAGAAAAGCUUCUAGGAGUGUCACAAGAUUUUUCCUGUUUCUCAAAUUAUCCUUGGUGCUUGGCUGUGACCUUAUUCUUUUUCUCUCUGCUUCCCAACUCACGUGGUCAUCAGUGGCUUACAACCCAAUUUGUUAAAAUUCUGGUCACAAAAGGCAAUUAAAAUUCCUUCAGUUCAAAUUUCAAGUUCCUGGAGAAGGAGCUUUGACUGUCCAGAUUGAGUCAGGUGAUAACUCCUGCUCCAAUCAACAGUGUGCUGCUAUGUGAUUAUGUCUAACUCAUACUCCACCAUCUCCUCUAUGGUUGUGCACCACACAGAACCAAGGUGGCCGUUGGAAGCCCUUCUGUUACCAUGGGGAGUGAUAAUUUCCAGAAUUUUAGGCAGAGACUGUGGUGGACAUCUAUCUAAAGAAUCAUGCACUUGAGAUAUCAAAUAUUCAAGAAAGAAUUCUUGCUAGUUGCUCUCAACACAUUCUCCGAUGUUGGUCUCUAGUGUUGUGAGAUCGUUUUAGUGUAUCUGGGUCAGACUGUCAGGUUUUCUGAUCAGAAGCUACACUUGAUCCUGUUAUCUAUAUAUAGUAUUUCAGGUUCUAGGGAAUUAACAUUAAGCUAACUCAUAGGAGACAGUUUAAAAAUAUAUAAUCAAAUAAAAUAAAACUUUAGCCCCGAUUUAAUACAAUGACAAAUAGGCCUGAAUCAAAGAUCGUGACUGAUCCUGCAUGUAAGACUUCCCAAGAGACUAAGUUAUAGAUCAACUGCUUGAUAAAAAAAAAAAAAAAAAAAAAGUCACAUCAGGUAAUCAUUAACAGGUGAAUUGUCCUCUCUCUAAGAAAAGGACAUUUCUAUCUAAAUAGGUAGGGCAGACCUCUCCGUCCACACAAGGGAGCAGUGUCCACUACGUAGUGUAGUAUAAACUAAACACUCUUGUUCUUCUCCCAUUUGUAUGCAGUCUGCCUCCUCUGAGUAGCAAUUGCUUUCGUUACAUUCCAGACCUAAGGGUGCCAUUGUGAUCCUAUUGGAGUAUUUCCUAGGCUUCCACAAUAAAAUAUUUGCAAAUAUCUCUUGACAGGUAUCCUUUUUCAGAGGGAUGCUUUCAUCUUCUUUAUUCUGAUUUUUACCAGUUUUACAUCAGAGUGACCUUUUGUGUAUAUGUGUGUGUGACAAGAAAUAUAGCUUGAUUACCAUCAAGAACAUUCUGUAAACAAAGACCUAAAUAAGAGAUGUAGUCAAGAAUCAGGAAGUGGGUGGGAUCAGAACCCAAGUGUGAGUAUAAGAGUAAGCGGAGAUGGCCCAGGAAGUCUGCCACAAAUUUUGCUGGUGUAAGAAUCAUGCAAUGUGCAAAUUGGUAUGUCUGGAGAUGUCAGGCUAGAUAAAAAUACAAGAUCAAGAUGUACCUAGGUAAAUACAGCAUAGUGCAGGAUGGCCAAGAACCCAUCAGUUGAAAUUAUGGGGAAGCAAUCAUAUGCCACCUACCAAAAUAGUUGCAUUUGGUUGUAUGAAUGAUGUACUGCCUAGAGGGCACUUCACAUGUUAGUCAUAAUAUAUUUGUAUACUGAUUACAAAUUUAUGGCAGAUAAUAACUUAUGUUGAGGAUGGGGUGUCUUUUUCAAAUUCACGUCAAGUUGAUAGGCUCGAAUGGUACCAAUUGCCAUUUUUGUAUAGGUAGAAUGCAAAUGCUACUAGAGAUUAUAAAGGAAACCCAGUUAUCUUAACCUCCGAUCAAUGUUAACAACUCCGUUUGUCAAGAGUGGACAACGUAGGGGUGCCUGAGUGACUCAGUUGGUUAAGUGUCCGACUUUGGUUCAGGUCAUGAUCUCACAUGAUCUCACAGUUCAUGAGCUUGAGCCCCACAUCAGGCUCUCCGCUCUCAGCACAGAGCCUGCUUAGGGUCAUCUGUCCCUCUCUCUCUGCCCCUUCCUCCCUCCCAAAAAAAUCAACAACAACAACAAAAAAGAAAGACAGCUUGGGGUGAGGACACCCUGCUCUAAUGCGGCCACUGUCAGUAACUCAUGCCCCCUCCCCUGGUUCUAAAAAAAAAAAAAAAAAAGUAUGGACAAUAUAUUAUGUGCUAGGCAUGAAAUCAGACAUUUCAUAUUUUGUCUGCAAUCAAUGCAGACCACCAAGUUUUCCACCUAACUAUAGUAACCAGCACUUGAUGGCUUACAAUUUUGGUUAAACAGAUUCUUAACCUACAAUCUGAUUCAUAAUAGCUAAAAUUUCUAUUCUCACAAUUAAAAAAAUAUUUCUGUCUUAGAAUUUUAUUCAUAAUUCUAAAGAACCCCCCAGUUUCCACCCCCACAUCUGCCUCUCCCUAUCGUUGAUGUAAAUUGUGAGUUUUUAGAACUUCUUUGAAUUACCUCAAAAUAUGUGAUAUGUGUGGUAGAGAGAGACCAAAGAGAGAAAGAGAUCACAAGAAAGCAAGCUUUAGUAAUUGAGCUCGAGAUGUUGAGAAUAGAAGGCAGAGGAUGCCUCUAUUAACCGUGCUUGAACAGCAUGGUUCCUAUCAUCCCUAUUGUGGGAGAGACUGACCAAUGGUUUAUUUUAUUUUAUAAUUUGAAAGCCAAACUAAAGGUGAAAGAAAACUCCUGUCUUGCCAAUAAUUCCAGGCUUGGAGAUGCACAUGUUCCCGUGGGAGGCACGCAGCAGGUGUGAGAGCAGGGCUAUUGCUGUUGGCUGUUGAUUACUCUCUGUGUAAUUUGAAAAGCUUUCUAUUCCCACAGCUUUAUGCAAUAUAUCAACAGUAAUAGAUUCAUAAUCAUUAUCCAGCCUACUAGAGGUUUGGCCACUGUGACAGAUGUCUUCUCAGUUUCAUAUUGUGAGCUUUCAUUUAUUUACCCCUCUCUCUGAAAAAGAUCUUACAUAAAACCCUAGCAUCAAUGUAUGUGAUAUGAUGUUUAUAUUCAAUAGUGACAUUAGUUACCAAUCUCUAAUUUCCAGUGAGUAAUUAAUUAUUAAUUAACCAUGAUGAGCCAAACACACCAGCACUGAUUCAGUAUAGUUUAUCCUUAUUAGAGUUUGUGGCAAAGAUUACUAGAUGAUAAAAAAAAACUCUCAGAUAUGCUUUUGUUUUUAAUAUUCGCAAUGAUCUGUAUUUGGGCUAAAUAUUUAAAGGCAUUAUUUUCUUUAAGAAUAUCAGAAAUAUUUGUCUUAGUUAUUUUUGUGUUUCUUAGAUUUUUGUCUUAGAAAUAUUCCAUCGCUGUGGAAAUGUAGAGUAAUCCUCAAACAUCUCCACCAGGUCCAGCAGUAACCCCAAGACAGAAAAUGUCCAAACCACCUAAAUCGACAUCUCUUUGCAAGAAAAAUUGCAUCCAUUCUCAACACUAUUUUUUCUCUUUCUUAACUCUUACCCAGUGGACUUGUGGUGAAUAUAUAAGAAAGGAACAAAUUUAUUUCCCUCUAUUUAUUGUUUAGUUUCUUAACAAAUCUUGAGUUUAUAUAUUUACAUUAAAAAUUCACAACACCAAUUGGACUUGAGAAAGUACUUUCAGGGUUCUGGUAUUACUUGCAUCAUUGUGAUUCCUUUAACUUUGAACAAAAAUUAUUGUUAUUUUUUUUAAGUAUUAACCACCUGGUUUACUUUAUCUGAUUGCUGCCUCUGUUUUCAUUUCCACUGAAUUUUAAAAUACAUUAUACUAAUUAUUUCUUUUAAACAAUUUUGAGAAUCUUAGAAACAGUCAUGAAUAGUAAUAAUGAGUUAUAUACCUUACGGAGAGAGUGAGAGAGAAAAAAAUGCUAGUUCUAAGCAGAAAGCAAGUCCUCUGCAUAUAAAAAUUCUUUUGGUCUUUUUAGUUUAUCAUCAGAUCACCCAGAAAGCACAGGUUAAAAGCUUUAAAAAAAAUCCGUCUCUCUCAGUUGAGUCUGAAUGCUUUUUGAAGAGCUUACAACAUUUCUUCUCCAUUUGCAUGUUUUCUUAUUGCUCUGACAGUAAGUGGGAGGCCAGCUGGAAAGAACUGUGAAAAAUAUAUGCUUGGUAUGGAUGAGUCUGAGAUUUCCAUAAGCAGUUCCAUUUUCUAGCAUCUGAGAUCAAUUUCUUAUAAUGACAUUGAAUAAAAACCUGUUAAUGCAUCACUUGUAAGCUCUGAAGCUGCUUAUUCUACAAAGUGUAUCUCCCAUUGACUUUCAUUUAUCCUUUACCUCAUUAGGAAGUGUAUUUAGUUGUAUUAAAAUUAAUUUACUGAAUGACAUUAAGAAAUAUGCCUAAAUAUUAAGAUUGCCUUUUUGGUUCUUCCAAUCCAUAGGCAUGAAAUAUCUGAGCAUUUGUUUGUGUCAUCUUCAAUUCUUGUAUCAGUAUUUUACAGUUUCCAGAGUACAGAAAGGGCAUUUUUCAAUCCAAUACUCAAAGUGAUGGAAAAAUGUUUAGAAGAAUGGGGUAAGCAUUACAGUAUCCAAUUCUCCAUAAUAUAGCUGUCCUGGAGCAGCAGAGGGCCUCUUGAGGGGCCAUGUGGCAAAAACCUGAAGGUGAUCUCUAGAAGCUUAGAGUGGCCUCAAAUCAACAACCAGCAAGAAAAAGGUUCCUAACCACACAACCCAAAAGAACUGAAUUCUCCUAAGAGCUAUGUGAGCUUGGAAGAGACCCUUAAGCCUCAGGCUUUUGCAUUGAACCAUGGUCUAGCCAAGCUAAAUUCCAAAAGUUUAAAGACAACUUGGACGAGAAGCAGGACAAAUAAAAGAUAUAUUAUGGAAAACAUAACAAGUUUCACAAGGAAUCAGGAUAUCCACAGCAGAGGUUUGUUAGGAUCGGUGUAAGAAGAAAAUCAACUUGUGAUGCCGCUGACAUGUUUAGAAUCAUACCUGUCAUAUACUAUGGAUUCGAUAAUUAAUUAGCAUCUUUUCCUGCUGAAAGAAGCCUGAGCUAGGAGACUGACACAUGGGUUCUAGUUCUGGAUCUACCACCAGCGUUGAUCUUAAAAUUACUUUGCAAAAAAAGGUGGAGAUGGAGUGCUUCCUUUCCCGUGUUGCUGAUGCUGCCACGGAUUUACUUUGGAAGAAUUACAGAUGAUAUUAAUUACAGUUUCAACAGCAACCACCAUCCGUAUGGCAUUCUGCAAAGUGUUUGCUUGUAUUUUACCUCGGUCCAGAAAGCCUGUGACGUAGUUUCGGUAGGUGCUCUUGUCAUUCCUAACGUACAGAUGAACCAGAAAUUUGGAGCGGUUGAGAGACUUUCCCAAGGUCACGUGCUCUGAUAGCAGUGGCACUCAGGACUCUCUCCUUGGAUCCGUCUUCUUCUAAACCUCUGAUGAGCUUCCACGUAAGGUGUAAACUCUCACCCCUCGUGCAUGCACCACAACUUGUGAAGGUCUGUGAAAAGCAUUUGGAAUAUAUGGAUUAUACUUGGGAAUACCUUUUCUUUUUUCAGCAACUAAAUCAUUGUCCCUUCUCAUAAAGCUUACCACGAUUUCGGGAUACCCCAAGAAUUAUUGACAAGGUUAUUCUCAAAUGGCCAACUUAUGGAGAGGUAUUCUAAUAAAACUAAAUUAGGUUUA